UACGAAGGGGGCUAGCGUUGCUCGGAAUCACUGGGCGUAAAGGGUGCGUAGGCGGGUCUUUUAAGUCAGGGGUGAAAUCCUGGAGCUCAACUCCAGAACUGCCUUUGAUACUGAGGAUCUUGAGUUCGGGAGAGGUGAGUGGAACUGCGAGUGUAGAGGUGAAAUUCGUAGAUAUUCGCAAGAACACCAGUGGCGAAGGCGGCUCACUGGCCCGAUACUGACGCUGAGGAGCGAAAGCGUGGGUAGCGAACAGG
rnacentral:rRNA from 1 species